AGCCAAAUUAAACAUCGAAAUCUGGUA
rnacentral:piRNA from 1 species